AUGACUAUAAGGAACCAACGAUUCUCUCUUCUUAAACAACCUAUAUACUCCACACUUAACCAGCAUUUGAUAGAUUAUCCAACCCCGAGCAAUCUUAGUUAUUGGUGGGGGUUCGGUUCGUUAGCAGGUAUUUGUUUAGUCAUUCAGAUAGUGACUGGCGUUUUUUUAGCUAUGCAUCACACACCUCAUGUGGAUCUAGCUUUCAACAGCGUAGAACACAUUAUGAGAGAUGUUGAAGGGUGCUGGUUGCUCCGUUAUAUGCAUGCUAAUGGGGCAAGUAUGUUUCUCAUUGUGGUUCACCUUCAUAUUUUUCGUGGUCUAUAUCAUGCGAGUUAUAGCAGUCCUAGGGAAUUUGUUCGGUGUCUCGGAGUUGUCAUAUUCCUAUUAAUGAUUGUGACAGCUUUUAUAGGAUACGUACCACCUUGGGGUCAGAUGAGCUUUUGGGGAGCAACAGUAAUUACAAGCUUAGCUAGCGCCAUACCAGUAGUAGGAGAUACCAUAGUGACUUGGCUUUGGGGUGGUUUCUCCGUGGACAAUGCCACCUUAAAUCGUUUUUUUAGUCUCCAUCAUUUACUCCCCCUUAUUUUAGUAGGCGCCAGUCUUCUUCAUCUGGCCGCAUUGCAUCAAUAUGGAUCAAAUAAUCCAUUGGGUGUACAUUCUGAGAUGGAUAAAAUUGCUUCUUACCCUUAUUUUUAUGUAAAGGAUCUUGUAGGUCGGGUAGCUUCUGCUAUCUUUUUUUCCAUUUGGAUUUUUUUUGCUCCUAAUGUUUUGGGGCAUCCCGACAAUUAUAUACCUGCUAAUCCGAUGCCCACCCCUCCUCAUAUUGUGCCGGAAUGGUAUUUCCUACCGAUCCAUGCCAUUCUUCGCAGUAUACCUGACAAAGCGGGAGGUGUAGCCGCAAUAGCACCAGUUUUUAUAUCUCUCUUGGCUUUACCUUUUUUUAAAGAAAUGUAUGUGCGUAGUUCAAGUUUUUGA
rnacentral:rRNA from 1 species